UUGGUGCAGCUAGCAUCAUCAAACAUCUCUUGCAGUGACUCUUCGGGCUCUAGUGGUGCAUAUCGAAACUUAGCACAACCAGACAUAGCCUACAAGGAAACAAAAGUGUAAUUACAGUAGUCCGGUGCUGUUACAGUUCAGCAAGCAUGUACAACUUGUUACAGUUCAGCAAGCAUGUACGUGUUACUACUAUACAAGAAUAAUUGCAUAUGUUCAACUGAUCUGCGCUGCCAAUAAUCAUCGUCAGCCACAAUGUUAUUAGUGGCCGGAUCUCUUCCUAAACCAGUCGCGUUACGGUUCAAUGUCUUCCACAUGGCAUAACCACCAUUCAACAUUUCACCGCCUAUUUUUUUAAUUGCCUUUUGUUAUAUGAUUCUUCUUUAUGCGCUGAUCGA
rnacentral:lncRNA from 1 species